rfam:Loxodonta africana unplaced genomic scaffold scaffold_37, whole genome shotgun sequence.
ACCCUGGUAACAUAGUGGUUAAGAGUUUGGCUGCUAACCAAAAGGUUGGCAUUUCGAAUCCACCAGGGGC